AUUGAACGCUGGCGGCAGGCCUAACACAUGCAAGUCGAGCGGAUGAAGGGAGCUUGCUCCUGGAUUCAGCGGCGGACGGGUGAGUAAUGCCUAGGAAUCUGCCUGGUCGUGGGGGAUAACGUCCGGAAACGGGCGCUAAUACCGCAUACGCCCUGAGGGAGAAAGUGGGGGAUCUUCGGACCUCACGCUAUCAGAUGAGCCUAGGUCGGAUUAGCUAGUUGGUGGGGUAAAGGCCUACCAAGGCGACGAUCCGUAACUGGUCUGAGAGGAUGAUCAGUCACACUGGAACUGAGACACGGUCCAGACUCCUACGGGAGGCAGCAGUGGGGAAUAUUGGACAAUGGGCGAAAGCCUGAUCCAGCCAUGCCGCGUGUGUGAAGAAGGUCUUCGGAUUGUAAAGCACUUUAAGUUGGGAGGAAGGGCAGUAAGUUAAUACCUUGCUGUUUUGACGUUACCAACAGAAUAAGCACCGGCUAACUUCGUG
rnacentral:rRNA from 1 species